rnacentral:rRNA from 1 species
AUGGCCGCGCUGCUCGCCGUCAUCGUCUCGCUGUACCGGUACCAGGAGCUGAUGAACCAGUACGCCCUGCUCACCCUCUACGCGUUCCACGUGUACUUGGCCCUGGAGCUGGUCCUGGCGUCGGCGGCCGCGGCGGCGCGCGCGCUGCUGGGCAUGGAUCUGGAGCCGCAGUUCGACCGGCCGUACCUGUCGGCGUCGCUGCGGGAUUUCUGGGGACGGCGCUGGAACCUGUCGGUGCCCGCCGUGCUCCGGCCGUGCGUGUACCGCCCAGUGCGCGCGCGCCUGGGCCCGGCCGCGGGGGUGCUCGCGACGUUCCUGGUGUCCGGGCUGGUGCACGAGCUCAUGUUCUACUACAUCACGCUGCGGCCGCCCACCGGGGAGGCGACCGCCUUCUUCGCGCUGCACGGCGCGUGCGCGGUGGCGGAGGCGUGGUGGGCGAGGCACGACGCGUGGUGGCGCCCGCCGCGGCUGGUGGCCACCCCGCUGACGCUGGCGUUCGUGCUCGUGACGGCGUUCUGGCUCUUCUUCCCGCCGAUCACGAGGCCCGGGGCCGACAAGCUGGUGAUCGCCGAGUGCGAGGCGGCCGUCGCGUUCGUCCAGGACGCCGGCGCCUGGGCGGCCGGCUCCGUCCGGUCGGUCUGGACUGGGCGCUCGUAG